rnacentral:rRNA from 1 species
UGAAGAAGGCCUGCGGGUUGUAAAGCCCUUUCGGUGGGGAAGAAAAGCGCUGACCAAAUACGUCGGCGUCUUGACGUAACCCACAAAAGAAGCACCGGCUAACUCUGUGCCAGCAGCCGCGGUAAUACAGAGGGUGCGAGCGUUAAUCGGAAUUACUGGGCGUAAAGCGCGCGUAGGCGGCUUUGCAAGUCGGGUGUGAAAUCCCCGGGCUCAACCUGGGAACUGCAUUCGAGACUGCAUUGCUCGAGUAUGGGAGAGGGAGGCGGAAUUUCCGGUGUAGCGGUGAAAUGCGUAGAUAUCGGAAGGAACAUCAGUGGCGAAAGCGGCCUCCUGGACCAAUACUGACGCUCAUGUGCGAAAGCGUGGGGAGCAAACAGGAUUAGAUACCCUGGUAGUCCACGCCAUAAACGAUGAGAACUGGAUGUCGGGAGGGUUAGCCUCUCGGUGUCGUAGCUAACGCGUUAAGUUCUCCGCCUGGGGAGUACGGCCGCAAGGUUG